CAGUCGCCGCGGGAAUACGAAGGGUGCAAGCGUUACUCGGAAUUACUGGGCGUAAAGCGUGCGUAGGUGGUGGUUUAAGUCCGUUGUGAAAGCCCUGGGCUCAACCUGGGAAUUGCAGUGGAUACUGGAUCACUAGAGUGUGGUAGAGGAUAGUGGAAUUUCCGGUGUAGCAGUGAAAUGCGUAGAGAUCGGAAGGAACAUCUGUGGCGAAGGCGACUAUCUGGGCCAACACUGACACUGAGGCACGAAAGCGUGGGGAGCAAACAGGAUUAGAUACCCCUGUAGUCCCUGUCUCUUAUAC
rnacentral:rRNA from 1 species